rnacentral:rRNA from 1 species
GACGAACGCUGGCGGCGUGCCUAAUACAUGCAAGUCGAACGCAGUGGGGACGGGUGAGUAACACGUGGGUAACCUCCCAUCAGAGGGGAUAACACUUGGACACAGGUGCUAAACCGAUACUGAUGGAUGGACCCGCGGUGCAUUAGCGAGUUGGUGGGGGAACGGCGCACCAAGGCCACGAUGCAUAGCGGUGCUGAGAGGGUGAGCGGCCACACUGGAACUGAGACACGGCCCAGACGCCUACGGGAGGCAGCAGUAGGGAAUCUUCGGCAAUGGACGAAAGCCUGAUCGAGCAACGCCGCGUGAGUGAAGAAGGUUUUCGGAUCGUAAAACUCUGUUGUUAGAGAAGCGGUAUCUAACCAGAAAGCAACGGCUAACUACGUGCCAGCAGCCGCGGUAAUUC